rnacentral:rRNA from 1 species
AUCUUGCGCAAUGGGCGGAAGCCUGACGCAGCAACGCCGCGUGUGGGAAGACGGCUUUCGGGUUGUAAACCACUUUCAGGGGCGACGAAGCUUCCGAGGUUAAUAGCCUACGGGGUGACGGUACCCCCAGAAGAAGCCCCGGCUAACUACGUGCCAGCAGCCGCGGUAAUACGUAGGGGGCGAGCGUUGUCCGGAAUCAUUGGGCGUAAAGCGCGUGUAGGCGGCUUGGUAAGUCUGGUGUGAAACCUUGGGGCUCAACCCUAAGCGUGCACUGGAUACUGCCUGGCUUGAGUCCGGGAGGGGAGAGCGGAAUUCCUAGUGUAGCGGUGAAAUGCGCAGAUAUUAGGAAGAACACCGGUGGCGAAGGCGGCUCUCUGGAACGGUACUGACGCUGAGACGCGAAAGCGUGGGGAGCGAACAGG